AAAUAAGUUCUUUUUACAAAAUAAGGAUUUUGAAAAUCUUUUUAGGUAUAUUAGUACCGUUUAGUGAA
rnacentral:tRNA from 1 species